UUAGUGAUGCUGAACGUUGUUUGCAUGAACCUGGUAUGUCUUCUUUUGAGAAGCAUUUUCACAAGCCAUUGGUGAAGUAUGUGGCUCACCACCACCCAUACUCCAGCCCUGUUUCCAGUCACUGGUACCUAGAGGGUGAGAGUGAGGCUGCUCAUCACAUGUUCUCCAAGUCAUAAGGUGCUGCCCUCCCACUCACAAUACUUGGUGAUUGAGUGAUGUUUUCCACUUAAAGACAGUGAUAGCUGUAUCACCACAGUUAAUAGAUGUCUGGUGUGUCCCAGUCACAGAGAUAAUACAAAUGUGAGGAAAUAAUGCUGGUGCAUGAAAGCAUUGGAGACCAUUUGUAAGAAUGCCAUUUGGUAGUUAAAGUGAACAUGAAAAUUGUUUAGUUUUUCUUGGUUUCAUAAACAUUUUUUCUUCCUGUAGAACUGAUAAAUUUCAAACGGAAGAGAGUGGCAGCAUUUAGAAAGAAUCUAAUUGAAAUGUCUGAACUGGAAAUAAAACAUGCCAGGAACAAUGUCUCCCUUUUGCAGAGCUGUAUUGACUUGUUCAAGAAUAACUGAUAUGCCUUCACUCAGAAGAAAAGAAAUGAAUGUGAAAGAAAGCCAAGCAUCACUUGCACUUAAAUCAUUACCACGGAAGAUAUAUUAGCUUCAACUUUAGUUUAAAAUUAUGUGAAUAAAUAUUUUGAUUUCUACAAAUCUUAACAUUUAACCAUGUUGGUUUAAAAAUAUUAUUGCUUGCUACUUGGACAUAACUAAAUUUUCCUUGUGCAUUUAAUACCUCUGGGCAGAAUCUAAAUACUGGGUUCUCCCGUAGUUCGUCUUUAGUUACUAAGAAAGGGUGUAGGAGACAUUUGCCUUCUGGAAACAAGUAGAAGCAAUCACCUGGCCCAUGUCCCUACAAACCCAUGAUUGUCAGGGAGGUGCCAGUUACAGCAGGUGAUUCAGCUACUUGAGGCCGGUAACAGACCUUCCAUUCCUCACUGAAGGUGGGGUUUGUGUUUUUGUUUUGCCCUGUUACUCCACUGGUAGUCCUCUGGUGUUUGUACUAUAACAACAGCAAGAAAAUCUCAUUUAUCUUUAUAUACUCUUUGCACCUCCUUUUUUUAGUCAAGAUAUAAAUAUUUGAGAGGAGAGAAAUAUCUACGGGUAUAUAUGGAAACAAAUAAUGUGGUCUGCUUUAUAAGAUGGCCAGAUCUACAUUAGGAAAAGUAUGAGCCCCCUCCCUAGUGGCCGUUGGAGGGGUGAGGGGGGUAUGGUGUAUGUCUUUGGGCAUUUGUUUUUUAUAAAGCAUAUAAUAAAAUAAUCGUGCUACUAA
rnacentral:sRNA from 1 species